rnacentral:misc_RNA from 1 species
AAGAUAAACAAAAAAAAGUGAGAGAACGCUUGGAGUACUGCCAUAUAGAUUCGGGGACACCUCUAACAAGUAACAAGAGCAUUACAGAGCUUGUCAAUGGAACAUUUGAACGUGUUAAAUUUCACAAUGGGUGCGGACUUGAGAGGUCAAAGGGUCUAAAAACUAACCUCAUGAGGCGUCUUUUCAAGGGCAAAACCACCAUGCCCAAUAGGCUGAAAGUAGACAAUUUCUUUCAAGGGUUCGGCCAAAUUGUUGCACUUCGCACAUUAACUAGUACGU